GACGUAGGGAGCAAGCGUUGUCCGGAAUCAUUGGGCGUAAAGCGCGCGUAGGCGGCCUCGUAAGUCCGUUGUGAAAGUCAAAGGCUCAACCUUUGAAAGCCGAUGGAUACUGUGAGGCUAGAGUCCGGAAGAGGCGAGUGGAAUUCCUGGUGUAGCGGUGGAAUGCGCAGAUAUCAGGAGGAACACCAAUAGCGAAGGCAGCUCGCUGGGACGGUACUGACGCUAAGGCGCGAAAGCGUGGGGAGCGAACAGG
rnacentral:rRNA from 1 species